CAGUGACAUUUUGACAUUAAUUUGCAUCAAUCUCAAUAAUGAACCUAAUUCCUGUCUUUAUUUCAUCUGUAUUUAUUGCUAUUGUUUACUUUUAGCCUUUUACUAUUUAAAAUGUAAUGUGUGUUGUUUUUCCAUGCAAGCAAUUUUGGACCGACACUGCUAUCUGCCUUCGCUUUCAAUCCCGCCAGGCAGAUCUACUCAGAAUAACACUACUUUGCCUUAUUUUUCCUGUUUGGAUAUCUUGCUGAGUUCAAGUUAAAUCAAGUAUUCAGCUGAAAACACAAAAAGGAUAAUAAUAUUAUGCUUUCUUUCUUGGAACGAUGUUGUUGUGAUAGACCGUGCGUGAAAAACAGCAGGGAAUCUGUAUUUAAGUGACCUCAAUAUUAUACGUAAACCUAAAUGUACAUUUUUAGGUGGUGUCGGAAUUAGUCUAUAGCUCUGCCUGAACUGCUGUCCAAUUGGUUUACAAGUCCGGCUGAAGUGACAGGCCAUCAAAAACUGCACAGUAUGACUGAUUCGGAGACGGCCCUCAACACUCGCCCAGUCGUGUCGAGAGGAUCGGUGUCUUUGCAGAUUACACGGAAUUGAGCACCCGGGCCAGACUGACACUUUCCGGAGCCUGUCCGAGACGGAACUCGAGCCGAGGAAUCAUAGGUCCAGGUGUGACAGAAAACUUAAAGCUCAUGUCUGACGAUGACUUUUUUUUGCGUCAGGAAGUAAAGUGUGUUGUUUUCCCAUGCAAGCAAGCCCUUUUGUUGGGUCAAAUGACAUCAGAAAUGCUGCUUCUACAUGGAUUUUACCUAAAAUGUGCCAAAAAAUAUAUAAAAAGUUUGUUCGGAUCUUGUUCAAAACCUGCUAUGAUGCACAUAUAAUGCCAUUGAUGAUUUGUUUUCACUUAUUAAGUCAUAUGUUACAUCUGCUAUGCUAUUAGAAUCGAAAGUGAUGCCUUGUAUGGAGUCUAAGUGCUGUCUGUAUGAUGUAACCAAGGUCGGCUUUUCUACCUUAAUUCUUGACGCGAAACGCUGUUACGCGUGACGCUUUCAACGUCAACUUUAAUGAAUAAAUCUGUGUGUCAUGGUACUGGAACUUUGUGAUCUUUUUUAAAACAGAUUAUACCUAUGGAAAAAGUGCCUUUAAUUCAAAUUUGAAGGGGUUGGGUUCCCUUAUAGGUUACAUUAUCCUAAACGGAAGUGGAAUUUGGGGGGUUACAUGCAGUCGGUUUGCUACUUAGUACAUAUGAUGCAGGUCCUGGUGCAUAAGAUUUUAAAAAUGUAUCUGAAAUGAAGAGUUUAGGUGUCAGUUUAAAGGUACAUGUGUAAGUCACAGGGCAAAAGGCCUGAUUUGUGCAUUUCUUUGUAUGUUAGUGGUUGCCAGCCUCAAUAGUAGGGCAUGGUUUUUGCCUUCAAAUGGCAGUGCCGGUAGCUGUCAAAACCGGUUCAUAUGCUCUAAGGUGGUGUCGGAAUUAGUCUAUAGCUCUGCCUGAACUGCUGUCCAAUUGGUUUACAAGUCCGGCUGAAGUGACAGGCCAUCAAAAACUGCACAGUAUGACUGAUUCGGAGACGGCCCUCAACACUCGCCCAGUCGUGUCGAGAGGAUCGGUGUCUUUGCAGAUUACACGGAAUUGAGCACCCGGGCCAGACUGACACUUUCCGGAGCCUGUCCGAGACGGAACUCGAGCCGAGGAAUCAUAGGUCCAGGUGUGACAGAAAACUUAAAGCUCAUGUCUGACGAUGACUUUUUUUGCGUCAGGAAGUAAAGUGUGUUGUUUUCCCAUGCAAGCAAGCCCUUUUGUUGGGUCAAAUGACAUCAGAAAUGCUGCUUCUACAUGGAUUUUACCUAAAAUGUGCCAAAAAAUAUAUAAAAAGUUUGUUCGGAUCUUGUUCAAAACCUGCUAUGAUGCACAUAUAAUGCCAUUGAUGAUUUGUUUUCACUUAUUAAGUCAUAUGUUACAUCUGCUAUGCUAUUAGAAUCGAAAGUGAUGCCUUGUAUGGAGUCUAAGUGCUGUCUGUAUGAUGUAACCAAGGUCGGCUUUUCUACCUUAAUUCUUGACGCGAAACGCUGUUACGCGUGACGCUUUCAACGUCAACUUUAAUGAAUAAAUCUGUGUGUCAUGGUACUGGAACUUUGUGAUCUUUUUUAAAACAGAUUAUACCUAUGGAAAAAGUGCCUUUAAUUCAAAUUUGAAGGGGUUGGGUUCCCUUAUAGGUUACAUUAUCCUAAACGGAAGUGGAAUUUGGGGGGUUACAUGCAGUCGGUUUGCUACUUAGUACAUAUGAUGCAGGUCCUGGUGCAUAAGAUUUUAAAAAUGUAUCUGAAAUGAAGAGUUUAGGUGUCAGUUUAAAGGUACAUGUGUAAGUCACAGGGCAAAAGGCCUGAUUUGUGCAUUUCUUUGUAUGUUAGUGGUUGCCAGCCUCAAUAGUAGGGCAUGGUUUUUGCCUUCAAAUGGCAGUGCCGGUAGCUGUCAAAACCGGUUCAUAUGCUCUAAGGUGGUGUCGGAAUUAGUCUAUAGCUCUGCCUGAACUGCUGUCCAAUUGGUUUACAAGUCCGGCUGAAGUGACAGGCCAUCAAAAACUGCACAGUAUGACUGAUUCGGAGACGGCCCUCAACACUCGCCCAGUCGUGUCGAGAGGAUCGGUGUCUUUGCAGAUUACACGGAAUUGAGCACCCGGGCCAGACUGACACUUUCCGGAGCCUGUCCGAGACGGAACUCGAGCCGAGGAAUCAUAGGUCCAGGUGUGACAGAAAACUUAAAGCUCAUGUCUGACGAUGACUUUUUUUGCGUCAGGAAGUAAAGUGUGUUGUUUUCCCAUGCAAGCAAGCCCUUUUGUUGGGUCAAAUGACAUCAGAAAUGCUGCUUCUACAUGGAUUUUACCUAAAAUGUGCCAAAAAAUAUAUAAAAAGUUUGUUCGGAUCUUGUUCAAAACCUGCUAUGAUGCACAUAUAAUGCCAUUGAUGAUUUGUUUUCACUUAUUAAGUCAUAUGUUACAUCUGCUAUGCUAUUAGAAUCGAAAGUGAUGCCUUGUAUGGAGUCUAAGUGCUGUCUGUAUGAUGUAACCAAGGUCGGCUUUUCUACCUUAAUUCUUGACGCGAAACGCUGUUACGCGUGACGCUUUCAACGUCAACUUUAAUGAAUAAAUCUGUGUGUCAUGGUACUGGAACUUUGUGAUCUUUUUUAAAACAGAUUAUACCUAUGGAAAAAGUGCCUUUAAUUCAAAUUUGAAGGGGUUGGGUUCCCUUAUAGGUUACAUUAUCCUAAACGGAAGUGGAAUUUGGGGGGUUACAUGCAGUCGGUUUGCUACUUAGUACAUAUGAUGCAGGUCCUGGUGCAUAAGAUUUUAAAAAUGUAUCUGAAAUGAAGAGUUUAGGUGUCAGUUUAAAGGUACAUGUGUAAGUCACAGGGCAAAAGGCCUGAUUUGUGCAUUUCUUUGUAUGUUAGUGGUUGCCAGCCUCAAUAGUAGGGCAUGGUUUUUGCCUUCAAAUGGCAGUGCCGGUAGCUGUCAAAACCGGUUCAUAUGCUCUAAGGUGGUGUCGGAAUUAGUCUAUAGCUCUGCCUGAACUGCUGUCCAAUUGGUUUACAAGUCCGGCUGAAGUGACAGGCCAUCAAAAACUGCACAGUAUGACUGAUUCGGAGACGGCCCUCAACACUCGCCCAGUCGUGUCGAGAGGAUCGGUGUCUUUGCAGAUUACACGGAAUUGAGCACCCGGGCCAGACUGACACUUUCCGGAGCCUGUCCGAGACGGAACUCGAGCCGAGGAAUCAUAGGUCCAGGUGUGACAGAAAACUUAAAGCUCAUGUCUGACGAUGACUUUUUUUGCGUCAGGAAGUAAAGUGUGUUGUUUUCCCAUGCAAGCAAGCCCUUUUGUUGGGUCAAAUGACAUCAGAAAUGCUGCUUCUACAUGGAUUUUACCUAAAAUGUGCCAAAAAAUAUAUAAAAAGUUUGUUCGGAUCUUGUUCAAAACCUGCUAUGAUGCACAUAUAAUGCCAUUGAUGAUUUGUUUUCACUUAUUAAGUCAUAUGUUACAUCUGCUAUGCUAUUAGAAUCGAAAGUGAUGCCUUGUAUGGAGUCUAAGUGCUGUCUGUAUGAUGUAACCAAGGUCGGCUUUUCUACCUUAAUUCUUGACGCGAAACGCUGUUACGCGUGACGCUUUCAACGUCAACUUUAAUGAAUAAAUCUGUGUGUCAUGGUA